rnacentral:rRNA from 1 species
GAUGAACGCUGGCGGCGUGCCUAAUACAUGCAAGUCGAGCGAACAGACGAGGAGCUUGCUUCUCUGACGUUAGCGGCGGACGGGUGAGUAACACGUGGAUAACCUACCUAUAAGACUGGGAUAACUUCGGGAAACCGGUGCUAAUACCGGAUAAUAUAUUGAACCGCAUGGUUCAAUAGUGAAAGACGGUUUUGCUGUCACUUAUAGAUGGAUCCGCGCCGCAUUAGCUAGUUGGUAAGGUAACGGCUUACCAAGGCAACGAUGCGUAGCCGACCUGAGAGGGUGAUCGGCCACACUGGAACUGAGACACGGUCCAGACUCCUACGGGAGGCAGCAGUAGGGAAUCUUCCGCAAUGGGCGAAAGCCUGACGGAGCAACGCCGCGUGAGUGAUGAAGGUCUUCGGAUCGUAAAACUCUGUUAUUAGGGAAGAACAAAUGUGUAAGUAACUAUGCACGUCUUGACGGUACCUAAUCAGAAAGCCACGGCUAACUACGUG